GUGAGAUUAGCCCACGUAUCUCACUGUAUUGAAUGCCCACCCGAGUUAGUGUUUUUACUUCCCAUCAAUUCGAGAAACCGCUUCCAUUCCCACUCCAUGCAGAUCAAUCGAAUGCCGCAACAAAUAAUUUGUUUCUUCUUCGACAGAGAAAAAAACAAGAAAAUUUCUAUAAAAUCAUUCUCAUGAUAUAUAUACGGCUUGAAAUCGACUUAUAAAUUGUCUGAAGGAGGAAUUGAUCCUGUCAAAUCCAACUGCUAGAUCUAGAAGAUUGUUCAGCUUAUCUAAGAGAUUUUUUUCCGUUCUAAUGAUAGAUAAAUAGAUUUUUUUUCCGUUCUAAUGAUGCAUCCUUUCUAAUUGAUAGAUUUUGGAGUGAUAAGCAUCAACAAGGAAAUUCAAUACGGCUUCAGAAAAAAGAAGGAAACCCAGGUUGAGUUCUUAUGCCGCAAUCUUUACUUCUCCGAGAUAGCCUAAGGUAAAAGUGUUUGUUGAAUUGUCUGAUUGAGAAUUAUGGAUAUUCGUUUUUGUGAAUGGGUUUGCAUGAGUGAAAAAUUUGAGAUGAUAGUCCUGUUCAGCUGCAAAGAUGACCAGAAACAGAUAGUGGUGGAUUCUUUGAAACAUAGUGCAGGUAGACCUGUAGUAAAUAUGGUGGAUCCUUUGGGUUAUGGAUAUGAUGGAUAAAACGGUAAAUGUGCCUCAGGAGCAGAACCAUGGGUGCCUUGCAUCAACCAGCUUUGGAUGGCAGUGGCCCCUUCAGUAAAACAAUCCGUAGAAGUCCUAGGCUAAUUGUGCAAGCUCGAGUUCAAGAAACAAUACAUAUGCAGAUUUGAAUUGUUAACAGGUUUUGGAAGAUAAGCUUGAUUUAUCAAGGUGGUAAUUGAAGUAUAGGGCUUUUGGUCAAGAUGUAGAGUUUUCUUGGCUUGCUCGCAAUAUGCAGGCUAUACCCAACCAAAGAGGCCAAUGAUGAUGUUUAGAAGGUCUGCCUAACAGGAAUAUUGAUAACUAAUAUUAGUAAGGUAAUAAGUGUUAGAUACUUUUCCGGGGGGGAUUAUGUUAGUUCAAUUAUUUAGCCAGGUUUAUAUAUCUUUUUUUUUUCAACCUUUUUUUUUGCGUCUGUAUGUGCCUAAUCAGAAUCAUGGAAAGACCAAUCGAAAAUGAGAAUCUUAACACUUUGAAUAAUCUUAAUACCAUAAUCCUUGGGCUAAAAGUUCUGAAACUCUCUUGAAUGCGGAAGAUCGUUCGAAUGGGUUGUUAAUCGAUUCAAUUUUCCCCAAUUAAUGUUACAUAAUGUUACAUAGAAGCCUUUUUUCUCUAAUUGUGUAUAUGAUUUAUUCUCCCGCUACACUUUUCUUAAUGGGGAACCAGUGUUCUGAAAGCGUUACCUCUAACUUGCAUUAUCAUUUUUAGAUAAUCAAAUCUUUUUAUAUGUAGCCCAUUAUUACCAUGAAAUAAAAUUUUGGAUCGAUUUGUCCGAAGAGUUGGACAAGGUUUUUGUGAAUGUAAUUUCUCGAUUAAGUCUUUUAGGAAGGAUAUCAAGGUGGGAAAUCAUCACGGCACGCAGUAACAUCAGUCAUAUACUUGAGAAGUUGGGAUGAGGGCUUUGUGUCAUAGUAAUUAACCUUUGGUAAUGCGAAUGCCUCUUUUAUCAAUCCUGGAUUUCCUAAUUAUAUGAAGAGGAUGUAAGUUCUUUAUUAUUUAUUUUCCUUCAUUUACUAGGUUAUCACUAAUUUAGGUGAAAGAAACACUUUGCUGACAGUUUCCACUUGCAGGAUUGGGUGAAAGUAGUGGAUUGUUGUUUUUCGUUGAUGUAUAUGACUGAUGUUACUGCAUAUGCAUUGAAAUUCUUUUUGGCUUUGAAAAGAAUGUAACUGUUUUAGAAUUGGGCGAUUGAAAGGCCGGAAACAUAUAAGGAAUCACCAGAUAAUGUUCGAGUCAUAUGACAGGAAGAGGCUCUUGCACCUUUUUCAUGUUAUAUCAAACCUAAUCUCUGUGAUAUUGUUCACAAAUGGUGCAAUUUUAACAACCUGAAGGCUGAUGUGGAGUGGAUAAGUUUUGCACCUGACUUCCUGAGAAAACAGGAAGCACGCAGUUGAGGAUGCAUUACUAACUAUCUCCGGAGUCGAAAUUGGUUACCAGCUUCAAUGUAAAUAUACAGCGUAGCAAGGAUGGCGAUGUCAAGAAUUUACGAACAUUAAACCCAUACGUUAUUAGGUGAGCACAAAUGAAGCUCUGCAUUGGAUAAAACCUAAAUUUAAGACAUUGACAUUGUUUGAAGUUUUCGUGUUUUGUUGAGAAUUGUUGGGUUCUUAGCUUCCUUAUUAACCCGUUGGAUCAAUGAGAGUCUCUUAGAGAGUUUUAACUUUUUGGGGUAUCAUUUAGGUUGGAAUUUGAUUUUCUCUGAAUCGUUCGACCUUAAAGCUGAUGAAAUUCCUAUCAAAUUAGUACAUGCCAUAUUUUUUUGGUUCCUGUGUUA